CUCUUCCCGCCCCCCCCCCAGGUCUUUAUUUGAUUUGUCCCUCCCGUCCCCUGGUCUCUCCCACCCCCCAGGUCUUUAUGGAAGAGUUUCUACGACCUGGGAUGUAUCCCAAAUAGCAACUAGUUCCCGAUGUAGUGGACUAUAUACAGAAUAGUGAACCGUUAUGGACACACACACACAAUAUAUACCAUCUGAUUAGAUAUGUAUUCUAGAGUGAAAAUACCAUCUAUUCAUAUCAGAUAUACAUUCUCUAGAGUGAAAAUGUGUAGGAGGAGGACGAAAAGCACUAUCGAGAUGUGAAUGAAUGUUACUCUGCUGUCAACAGACUGAGCUAGACUGACCUAGAGGUAGUUGUGGGUCUAUAUUACUCUGCUGUCAACAGACUGACCUAGAGGUAGUUGUGGGUCUAUAUUACUCUGCUGUCAACAGACUGACCUAGAGGUAGUUGUGGGUCUAUAUUACUCUGCUGUCAACAGACUGACCUAGAGGUAGUUGUGGGUCUAUAUUACUCUGCUGUCAACAGACUGAGCUAGACUGACCUAGAGGUAGUUGUGGGUCUAUAUUUUGCAAAAGUACUUCCCAAAAUUCACCAGAUUUCCAGAAAUCCCAGGUUGUAGGAUUCCCAGAUUUCCCUUCUUGAUUUUAGGAAUCUGGGAUAAAAAAAUAAAAAAUAAAAUAUAUAUAUAUAUAUAUAUAUAUAAAUAAAAAUAAGUUUCCAGAGUUGUUCAACCCUAGAGGUAGUAGGGGGCCCCCCAUGUCUUAUGGCACCUGCAUUAAUUAUAUUUCCACAAUUAUGACAAUCUGUGAAUAUUGUUGUUAGUUGAGCUGGACUGGGGGUAGAGAUGCACUGGAUGGUGUUACGUAUUGGAUUUAAAAGGUUUGAUGCAUUGCACUGUGAAGAUUCAUCCAUCUGUUACUUGGUUUACUGCAAUGACCUCUGUUUAAUUUAAACUACCAGCUGAAUGAAUACCGGAGGGACAUUUUUAAUUUUUUCCCCUCUGUUGUUUUGAAGACAAUACUAAAAAAAAUAAAAAUUCUGCAAAAAAAAAAUAAAUGUUCUCCAUUUUCUUUGUUCUUCACUUUUAGUUUAUUUUUUUUACCCAGAAAUCAAAGGUGCUUCAAAUGUGGAUCACUUUAUAUUAAGGGUCUGUAAUUUAUAUCAAGGGUCUGUAAUUUAUAUUAAGGUUUAUAUUAAGGGUCUGUAAUUUAUAUUAAGGGUCUGUAGUUUAUAUUAAGGGUCUAUAAUUUAUAUUAAGGGUCUGUAGUUUAUAUUAAGGGUCUGUAAUUUAUAUUAAGGGUCUGUAGUUUAUAUUAAGGGUCAGUUUGCUCAUUGCUGCUCAUUGUUA
ensembl:lncRNA